GGAUGGUCAGCCACACUGGGACUGAGACACUGCCCAGACUCCUACGGGAGGCUGCAGUCGAGGAUCAUUCGCAAUGCGCGAAAGCGUGACGAUGCGACGCUGCGUGGAGGAUGACGGCCCUAGGGUUGUAAACUCCUGUCAUGCGGGAAAAACCACCCCGUACUUAAUACGUGCGGGGCCUGAUGGUACCGCAAGAGGAAGCCACGGCUAACUCUGUGCCAGCAGCCGCGGUAAUACAGAGGUGGCGAGCGUUGUUCGGAUUUACUGGGCGUAAAGGGUGCGUAGGCGGUCUCGUGUGUCGGAUGUGAAAUCCCAUAGCUCAACUGUGGACGUGCGUCCGAAACUGCGGGACUAGAGUGCAGGAUGGGAGAGCGGAAUUCUUGGUGUAGCGGUGAAAAUGUUGAUAUCAAGAAGAACACCGGUGGCGAAGGCGGCUCUCUGGAAUGUUACUGACGCUGAGGCACGAAAGCUGGGGGAGCAAACGGGAUUAGAUACCCUGGUAGUCCCAGCCGUAAACGGUGCGCACUUGGUGUUGGCGGUAUUGACCCCGCCAGUGCCGGAGCUAACGCGUUAAGUGCGCCGCCUGGGGAGUACGGCCGCAAGGUUAAAACUCAAAGAAAUUGACGGGGGCCCGCACAAGCGGAGGAGCAUGUGGCUUAAUUCGAUGCAACGCGAAGAACCUUACCUGGGCUUGACAUGUAGCUGCACGUCCCGUGAAAGCGGGAAAGCCUUCGAGGGUGCUACACAGGUGCUGCAUGGCUGUCGUCAGUUCGUGCCGUGAGGUGUUGGGUUAAGUCCCGCAACGAACGCAACCCUUGUGUUUAGUUGCCACCGGCGGUGAUGAGCCGCUGAGCACUCUAAACAGACUGCCCGUACAAGCGGGAGGAGGGUGGGGACGACGUCAAGUCAGUAUGGCCCUUACGCCCAGGGCUGCACACGUGCUACAAUGGUCGGUACAGAGGGCUGCAAAGCCGCGAGGUGGAGCUAAUCCCCAAAACCGGCCUCAGUCCGGAUUGGAGUCUGCAACUCGACUCCAUGAAGUUGGAUUCGCUAGUAACGGCGCAUCAGCUACGGCGCCGUGAAUACGUUCCCGGGCCUUGUACACACCACCCGUCACAUCAUGAAAGCCGUCUGCACCCGAAGUCGCUGAGCCAACCCGCAAGGGGGGCAGGUGCCGAAGGUGUGGGUGGUGAUUGGGAUGAAGUCGGAACAAGGUA
rnacentral:rRNA from 1 species